CUGUAUUAACAAGGAACUUUGCACAUUGAAACAUCAUCAUGACACAGUGGCAGAAACCACAGACCAAGCAAUCUUGAUGAGCAUGAUGAAAAGUGCAGAGCUGGAACAAUCAAGGUUUAUUGAAGAAAAAAAGCCCUUUCAAUCAAUAUCCAAGCAAAAAGUCUCAGAGAAUGCUGUAUCUUGAGUUGUUCUUAGAUACUUUAUCUCUGCUUCUUCCUAAUAGUAGCUCUCUUGGAUUUAUCACAACUUUUCAUGUUGUAGAACACUGUGGGAACAGCUUAAAAGUUUUUAAAUAUGCUACAUCCAAUACUGUGUGCGUUAUUCAUUAAA